AAAGAUGAAUAGACAACAAUAAGGACAACAGAUCAGAUGACAGAAUACCCCAUAGAAUAUGACAAUACAAAACAGAGAAAAACCGACAGGACAACAGAUUAAGAUGACAUCAACAGACAACAUGUACGUCAACAAUGCUGAUUUUCCUGAACAUGCGGGCAAUGAGAGUAGACGAAGACAAAUGUGAAGUACAAAGCAGAAAGCAGGCAUGGGAAUUUUGGCACAAAUUGAACCCCAUAGCCACCUGUUCUCGUCUACAUUGCAGUCAAGGAGAGGCACACCUCAAACCAGUUGUAAACAGUGAUUUAGAAACAGCCCAUAUAUGAGAAGUGGUAUAUAUUGAGUCGUCUGAGUGAGAAACGGUUUCCAUCCGUGAGGCAUUGUGAAGUGCGGGGUAAAGUUAUUGGCAAAGAACUACCUCCUUGCUCACAAUAAAAGGUGGAAAAUAUCUCCUGACUCCUACUCCUUAAUCAGUGUGCUCAUCAAGCGUGAUUGUGUACUGAAGACCUACCUCAAUGAAGACUUGUAAAAGAGUAUGUGUGAAGACUGAAAGUGCAGUGGCUGAAUCUCAAAAUGCACACACAACAUUGGAGAUCUUUAUCAUUUGGGCUGAGGAUGCUGGUCCUGGGGACAGACCUACAUAUGUUGGUUUAGAAGUUCUGCAGAACCUACUGAGUGUCACAUAUGGAUUGGAUGGACUUUAUGGGUUCAUGUGCACUUAAAGGGUUUGUUUAACCAGAAAUGAAAACUUUUAAUUAUUUAUGUCCUACCAAACAUUGAUUUGUCUUCGAAGUACAAAUGAAGAUACUUCAGGUGAAAUCUGAGAGCUCUCUCAUUCUCUAUAGACAGCAAUGGUCCCAACUUGUUUAAAGUCCAGAGAAAUAGAAAUACCUAAAACAUCCUCAAAACAGACCACAUGUUUCACUUGUUCAAUCAGAAUAUUUUUAAGCUACAAGAAUAAUUUUGAGUGCAUAUGAAGCAAAAAAAAACAGCCUUUGAAUUUUUUUA